UCGAGGAUCUUUAGCAAUGGGGGAAACCCUGACUAUGCGACGCCGCGUGAGGGAUGAAGUAUUUCGGUACGUAAACCUCUUUCGAUGGGGAAGAACUGCCUUAGCAAUAAUACGGCUAAGGACUGACGGUACCCAGAGAAGAAGCCACGGCCAACUCCGUGCCAGCAGCCGCGGUAAUACGGGGGUGGCGAGCGUUACUCGGAUUCAUUGGGUGUAAAGGACAGGUAGGCGGCUAUGUAAGUUGGAGGUGAAAUCCUGCGGCUCAACCGCAGAACUGCCUUCAAGACUGCAUGGCUUGAGGCCAGAAGAGGAGAGCGGAAUUCCCGGUGUAAGGGUGAAAUCUGUAGAUAUCGGGAGGAACACCAGUGGCGAAAGCGGCUCUCUGGUCUGGCCCUGACGC
rnacentral:rRNA from 1 species